ACUGAAGUAUUCUCUCUACUGAUAUAAUUUUAUUCUCCAAGUUGCAAAGAUUCCAUAUCACCCAGGCUUGUAACAUUUGGACUUAAUAUAAACAUA